rnacentral:siRNA from 1 species
AUCCAAAAUUUGAAAGUUUAGAGU